rnacentral:rRNA from 1 species
AGUCACUGGACAUUAGAUACCCGUGUAGUCCAGGGUGUAAACGCUGCAGACUUGGUGUUGGGGGCCCUUUGGGGGCAUUCAGUGCCGGAGAGAAGUUGUUAAGUCUGCUACUUGGGGAGUACGUCCGCAAGGAUGAAACUUAAAGGAAUUGGCGGGGGAGCACCGCAACGGGAGGAGCGUGCGGUUUAAUUGGAUUCAACACCGUAAACUCACCAGGGAAGACUGUUACAUGAAGGCCGAGAUGAAGACUCUGCUAGAUUUUCAG